GGCAGAGCUCGUGGUGGGGUGGGAGGCCGCUGGUCCCUGUGGCCCAGGACUCUAAUGCACAGAGCAAACCUCUCAUUGUGUCUCUGGGGAUCCUUUCCUGAGAAACAGUCCCCUUCGCUCAAUGGCUGAGUCCUAGGCGCCGGCCUCACUACACCCCCAUCUCCCUGCCUGCUGCCUCCAGCAACCCUGGAAUCCGUGCGCGGCCGAGCCACACCCCCUUGGGCCUGGAGCGCGCGCCUCCAGCAGCCCCUGGCCACCUGCUAAGGUCACAAGAUUUUGCUUUGGCUGGCCCAUCUAAACCGCACGAGCAAAGAUUGCACCCUAACUCAGGACUCUUUCCCCAAUGGUCCGUAAAUUGAUUUUUCAGAGUUGUACCAUGGAUCAAGACUUGCUUUUGGGGCCAAAUAAUAUCCUGUUGCAUGGAUGCAUGGAUGUCAUUUUCUGCUGGCUACCUUUGGAACAAGAGGUGGAACUCUCAGCUCCUCCUGCAUCAUGCCUGCCUGGGUGCUGCCAUGCUCCCACCUUGAUGACAAUGGAUUGAACCUCUGAACCUUGGCAUCACUGAGCAGUCGAACAUCAUCAUGAACAUCAAAGUUGAAGAGUGGCCCUAUAGGAGAGAAGUAGUAAGCUCAAGGCCAUGCUACUGCCCUUCCCAAUAUGUUGGAGCAAGUUAUAAGGUGCAUGGCACGUCCCGCCUCACUUGCAGCGCCCUUGUACUGAGCCAUGGUGGCAGCGGCGGUUUCAGCGGCGGCGGCGGCAGCAACAGCGGCAACAGUGACUUUCGCCUGAAGAAAUCCUGGCAGUGAAGGCGACGUCCGUGGCGGCGGCAAUUUAGUCAGCUGAUACGUGACGUCACCACCCGGGAACGUGCAGACGCCGGCCCUGCCCUACGCCCGCGGCUCUGACACGUGAUCUCACCUCGCCCCGCCCCACAGGAGGCUGAGUUCAUCCCACAUCGUGUACUGCGAAAUGGAGCUGGGUCCUCUAUCUUCCUGUCUGUCCUCAAAGUUAAAUGCUAUAUUAAGCUGGACCUCCAGUCCUCCUAACUUCCUUCUGUUGGCCCCAAGGCUAAGCGCACUGCUCCCUGUUUGACUGAUGAAACUCUUUGCCCCUUCCCGCGGAGGCUGAUUUUCCCUGCUUGGUCAAACACAGACGCUAUUUGGCUGCUUGGAUUUUUUUUUUACUAUCAUCCAAGGCUAGGUCCAGGUACCUCUGUUUUCCCAGGACUGGGACUCCUGAUACCCUCUCCUCUUAAAAAUUUGUGUGAGGUAGAAGAGAUGGCUCAGGCAAUGAUGGGUACUGGAUAUUCUUCCAAAGGACCCAGGAUCGAUCCCCAGCACCCAAAUAACUCACAACGAACUGUAACUCCAGUUCCUGUAGAUACUGGCCUCUGCAGGCAGCAGAUAUGCAAGUUGUGCACAUCCAUCUAGGCAAAACAGCAAUACAUAUAAAAUUUUAAA